rfam:Amborella trichopoda AMTR_V1.0_contig_14464, whole genome shotgun sequence.
CCCCUACUCAUGUGUGUAGGACCCCAAAGGAUCACCAUUAAAGUUGGCACAGAUCUCUAGAAAAGUUAUCAUAUGGGUGUGGGACUUGAUUUUUCUAUAGAUCCGUGCCAAAUUUAAUGGUGAUCUUUUGGGGUUCUACACACAUGGGUGGGGG